AUUCCAGCUCCAAUAGCGUAUAUUAAAGUUGCCGCAGUUAAAAAGCUCGUAGUUGGAUCUGAGGACUAGAGAUAAUGGUGCGAUAACUUCGUAACUGUUAUUUCUGCCUAAAAAGACGGUGCUAGUCUUUGGUGCUCUUAACUGAGUGCCUUUGAUGCCCGUCAAGUUUACUUUGAAAAAAUUAGAGUGCUCAAAGCAGGCGCUUUGCCUGAAUAGUGGUGCAUGGAAUAAUGGAAUAAGAUCUUCGGAUCUAUUUUGUUGGUUUUCGGAAGCCGAGAUAAUGAUUAAGAGAGACAGACGGGGGCAUUCGUAUUGUGGUGUUAGAGGUGAAAUUCUUGGAUCGCCGCAAGACGAACAACUGCGAAAGCAUUUGCCAAGCAUGUUUUCAUUAAUCAAGAACGAAAGUCAGAGGUUCGAAGACGAUCAGAUACCGUCCUAGUUCUGACCAUAAACGAUGCCAGCUGGCGAUCCGCGGUGGUUGUUAUUUUCGACCCCGCGGGCAGCCUCCGGGAAACCAAAGCCUUUGGGUUCCGGGGGAAGUAUGAUUGCAAAGUCGGAACUUAAAGGAAUUGACGGAAGGGCACCACCAGGAGUGGAGCCUGCGGCUUAAUUUGACCCAACACGGGAAAACUCACCCGGCCCGGACACUGUGAGGAUUGACAGAUUGAAAGCUCUUUCUCGAUUCGGUGGGUGGUGGUGCAUGGCCGUUCUUAGUUGGUGGAGCGAUUUGUCUGGUUAAUUCCGAUAACGAACGAGACUCUAGCCUGCUAAAUAGUCAGGUCGUAUCCUUUAGCGAUCUCUUGACUUCUUAGAGGGACAAGCGGCAACUAGUCGCACGAGAUUGAGCAAUAACAGGUCUGUGAUGCCCUUAGAUGUUCGGGGCCGCACGCGCGCUACACUGAAGGGAACAACGAGUAAUUUUCCUGGCCCGAAUGGGUCGGGUAACCUGUUGAAUACCCUUCGUGACAGGGAUCGGGGCUUGCAAUUAUUCCCCGUGAACGAGGAAUUCCCAGUAAGCGCAAGUCAUAAGCUUGCGUUGAUUACGUCCCUGCCCUUUGUACACACCGCCCGUCGCUACUACCGAUUGAAUGUUCUGGUGAAAUCAUUGGAGUGGUGCCGAUGGGGUGGUCUCCACUCCAUGGGAUACUGCGAAGACGCUUAAACCUGAGCAUUUAGA
rnacentral:rRNA from 1 species